rnacentral:rRNA from 1 species
UACAGAGGUCCCAAGCGUUGUUCGGAUUCACUGGGCGUAAAGGGUGCGUAGGUGGUGAGGUAAGUCGGAUGUGAAAGCUCGGAGCUCAACUCCGAAAUGGCAUUGGAAACUACCUUGCUCGAGGGUUGGAGGGGGGACUGGAAUACUUGGUGUAGCAGUGAAAUGCGUAGAUAUCAAGUGGAACACCAGUGGCGAAAGGCGAGUCCCUGGACAACUCCUGACACUGAGGCACGAAAGCUAGGGGAGCAAACAGG